GACGAACGCUGGCGGCGUGCUUAACACAUGCAAGUCGAACGGAAGGGCCCUGCUUUUGUAGGGUGCUCGAGUGGCGAACGGGUGAGUAACACGUGAGUAACCUGCCCUUGACUUUGGGAUAACUUCAGGAAACUGGGGCUAAUACCGGAUAGGAGCUCCUGCUGCAUGGUGGGGGUUGGAAAGUUUCGGCGGUUGGGGAUGGACUCGCGGCUUAUCAGCUUGUUGGUGGGGUAGUGGCUUACCAAGGCUUUGACGGGUAGCCGGCCUGAGAGGGUGACCGGCCACAUUGGGACUGAGAUACGGCCCAGACUCCUACGGGAGGCAGCAGUGGGGAAUAUUGCACAAUGGGCGGAAGCCUGAUGCAGCAACGCCGCGUGCGGGAUGACGGCCUUCGGGUUGUAAACCGCUUUCGCCUGUGACGAAGCGUGAGUGACGGUAAUGGGUAAAGAAGCACCGGCUAACUACGUG
rnacentral:rRNA from 1 species